AGAGUUUGAUCCUGGCUCAGGAUGAACGCUAGCGGCAGGCCUAACACAUGCAAGUCGAACGGUAGAAAUUAGCAAUAAUUUCGAGAGUGGCGCACGGGUGCGUAACACGUAUGCAACCUACCUCAAACUGGGAAAUAGCCCGGAGAAAUUCGGAUUAAUGUCCCAUAGCAAAUAGAUGAUGCAUAUCAUUUAUUUUAAAACUACGGUGGUUUGAGAUGGGCAUGCGUUCUAUUAGCUAGUUGGUAAGGUAACGGCUUACCAAGGCUACGAUAGAUAGGGGGCCUGAGAGGGUUAUCCCCCACACUGGUACUGAGACACGGACCAGACUCCUACGGGAGGCAGCAGUGAGGAAUAUUGGACAAUGGUCGGAAGACUGAUCCAGCCAUGCCGCGUGCAGGAAGACGGCCCUAUGGGUUGUAAACUGCUUUUGUUUGGGAAGAAACCUUUCUACGUGUAGAAAGCUGACGGUACCAUACGAAUAAGCACCGGCUAACUCCGUGCCAGCAACCGCGGUAAUACGGAGGGUGCAAGCGUUAUCCGGAUUUAUUGGGUUUAAAGGGUCCGUAGGCGGACUUAUAAGUCAGUGGUGAAAUCCUGCAGCUCAACUGUAGAACUGCCAUUGAUACUGUAAGUCUUGAAUUCGGUUGAAGUGGGCGGAAUAUGGCAUGUAGCGGUGAAAUGCUUAGAUAUGCCAUAGAACACCGAUUGCGUAGGCAGCUCACUAAGCCUGGAUUGACGCUGAGGGACGAAAGCGUGGGUAGCGAACAGGAUUAGAUACCCUGGUAGUCC
rnacentral:rRNA from 1 species